rnacentral:tRNA from 1 species
AUUUAUGUAGUUUAAAUAAAACAUUACAUUUUCACUGUAAAAAUAAUAUACCCAUAUUUAUAAAUA